UCUUGGCCUUGGUGGCGGCGGU
rnacentral:misc_RNA from 1 species